rnacentral:rRNA from 1 species
GGAUCAUUACUGAGUUACCGCUCUAUAACCCUUUGUGAACAUACCUAACUGUUGCUUCGGCGGGUUAGGGGGUCCCCACCCGGGGACGCCCUCCCGGCCCCGCGCCCUCGUGGCGCGUGGCGCCCGCCGGAGGAUAACCAAACUCUAUUUUAACGACGUCUCUUCUGAGUGGCACAAGCAAAUAAUUAAAACUUUUAACAACGGAUCUCUUGGUUCUGGCAUCGAUGAAGAACGCAGCGAAAUGCGAUAAGUAAUGUGAAUUGCAGAAUUCAGUGAAUCAUCGAAUCUUUGAACGCACAUUGCGCCCGCCAGCAUUCUGGCGGGCAUGCCUGUUCGAGCGUCAUUUCAACCCUCAAGCUCCGCUUGGUGUUGGGGCCCUACGGCGUACGUAGGCCCUUAAAGGUAGUGGCGGACCCUCCCGGAGCCUCCUUUGCGUAGUAACUAACGUCUCGCAUCGGGAUUCGGAGGGACUCUUGCCGUAAAACCCCCAACUUUUUUACUGGUUGACCUCGGAUCAGGUAGGAAUACCCGCUGAACUUAAGCAUAUCAAUAAGCGGAGGAAAAGAAACCAACAGGGAUUGCCCCAGUAACGGCGAGUGAAGCGGCAACAGCUCAAAUUUGAAAUCUGGCCCCAGGCCCGAGUUGUAAUUUGCAGAGGAUGCUUUUGGCGCGGUGCCUUCCGAGUUCCCUGGAACGGGACGCCAUAGAGGGUGAGAGCCCCGUACGGUUGGACACCAAGCCUUUGUAAAGCUCCUUCGACGAGUCGAGUAGUUUGGGAAUGCUGCUCAAAAUGGGAGGUAUAUUUCUUCUAAAGCUAAAUAUUGGCCAGAGACCGAUAGCGCACAAGUAGAGUGAUCGAAAGAUGAAAAGCACUUUGAAAAGAGGGUUAAACAGCACGUGAAAUUGUUAAAAGGGAAGCGCUUGUGACCAGACUUGCGCCCGGUGAAUCACCCAGCUCUCGCGGCUGGGGCACUUCGCCGGCACAGGCCAGCAUCAGCUCGCCGUCGGGGACAAAAGCUUGGGGAACGUAGCUCUCUUCGGGGAGUGUUAUAGCCCCUUGCAUAAUACCCUUCGGCGGGCUGAGGUACGCGU